rnacentral:rRNA from 1 species
CGGGUAGUCCAGCUGUAACGAUGCAGACUCGGUGAUGCACUGGCUUGUGGCCAGUGCAGUGCCGCAGGGAAGCCGUUAAGUUUGCCGCCUGGGAAGUACGUACGCAAGUAUGAAACUUAAAGGAAUUGGCGGGGGAGCACCACAAGGGGUGAAGCCUGCGGUU